AUUGAACGCUGGCGGCAGGCCUAACACAUGCAAGUCGAGCGGAUGAAGGGAGCUUUCUCCUGGAUUCAGCGGCGGACGGGUGAGUAAUGCCUAGGAAUCUGCCUGGUAGUGGGGGAUAACGUCCGGAAACGGGCGCUAAUACCGCAUACGUCCUGAGGGAGAAAGUGGGUGAUCUUCGGACCUCACGCUAUCAGAUGAGCCUAGGUCGGAUUAGCUAGUUGGUGGGGUAAAGGCCUACCAAGGCGACGAUCCGUAACUGGUCUGAGAGGAUGAUCAGUCACACUGGAACUGAGACACGGUCCAGACUCCUACGGGAGGCAGCAGUGGGGAAUAUUAGACAAUGGGCGAAAGCCUGAUCCAGCCAUGCCGCGUGUGUGAAGAAGGUCUUCGGAUUGUAAAGCACUUUAAGUUGGGAGGAAGGGCAGUAAGUUAAUACCUUGCUGUUUUGACGUUACCAACAGAAUAAGCACCGGCUAACUUCGUG
rnacentral:rRNA from 1 species